GACGAACGCUGGCGGCGUGCUUAACACAUGCAAGUCGAACGGAAAGGCCCUGCUUUUGUGGGGUGCUCGAGUGGCGAACGGGUGAGUAACACGUGAGUAACCUGCCCUUGACUUUGGGAUAACUUCAGGAAACUGGGGCUAAUACCGGAUAUGAGCUCCUGCUGCAUGGUGGGGGUUGGAAAGUUUCGGCGGUUGGGGAUGGACUCGCGGCUUAUCAGCUUGUUGGUGGGGUAGUGGCUUACCAAGGCUUUGACGGGUAGCCGGCCUGAGAGGGUGACCGGCCACAUUGGGACUGAGAUACGGCCCAGACUCCUACGGGAGGCAGCAGUGGGGAAUAUUGCACAAUGGGCGGAAGCCUGAUGCAGCAACGCCGCGUGCGGGAUGACGGCCUUCGGGUUGUAAACCGCUUUCGCCUGUGACGAAGCGUGAGUGAAGGUAAUGGGUAAAGAAGCACCGGCUAACUACGUG
rnacentral:rRNA from 1 species